GCCUGAGCUAGGAUGCAGUCGAGCGACUGAUUAGAAGCUUGCUUCUAUGACGUUAGCGGCGGACGGGUGAGUAACACGUGGGCAACCUGCCUGUAAGACUGGGAUAACUUCGGGAAACCGAAGCUAAUACCGGAUAGGAUCUUCUCCUUCAUGGGAGAUGAUUGAAAGAUGGUUUCGGCUAUCACUUACAGAUGGGCCCGCGGUGCAUUAGCUAGUUGGUGAGGUAACGGCUCACCAAGGCAACGAUGCAUAGCCGACCUGAGAGGGUGAUCGGCCACACUGGGACUGAGACACGGCCCAGACUCCUACGGGAGGCAGCAGUAGGGAAUCUUCCGCAAUGGACGAAAGUCUGACGGAGCAACGCCGCGUGAGUGAUGAAGGCUUUCGGGUCGUAAAACUCUGUUGUUAGGGAAGAACAAGUACGAGAGUAACUGCUCGUACCUUGACGGUACCUAACCAGAAAGCCACGGCUAACUACGUGCCAGCAGCCGCGGUAAUACGUAGGUGGCAAGCGUUAUCCGGAAUUAUUGGGCGUAAAGCGCGCGCAGGCGGUUUCUUAAGUCUGAUGUGAAAGCCCACGGCUCAACCGUGGAGGGUCAUUGGAAACUGGGGAACUUGAGUGCAGAAGAGAAAAGCGGAAUUCCACGUGUAGCGGUGAAAUGCGUAGAGAUGUGGAGGAACACCAGUGGCGAAGGCGGCUUUUUGGUCUGUAACUGACGCUGAGGCGCGAAAGCGUGGGGAGCAAACAGGAUUAGAUACCCUGGUAGUCCACGCCGUAAACGAUGAGUGCUAAGUGUUAGAGGGUUUCCGCCCUUUAGUGCUGCAGCUAACGCAUUAAGCACUUCCGCCUGGGGAGUACGGUCGCAGACUGAAAACUCAAAGGAAUUGACGGGGGCCCGCACAAGCGUUGGAGCCAUGUGGUUUAAUUCGAAGCAACGCGAAGAACCCUUACCAGGUCUUGACAUCCUCCUGACACUCUAGAGAAUAGAGCGUUCCCCUUCCGGCGGAACAGAAUGAACAAGU
rnacentral:rRNA from 2 species